GAUGAACGCUGGCGGCGUGCCUAAUACAUGCAAGUCGAGCGAACAGAUGAGGAGCUUGCUCCUCUGACGUUAGCGGCGGACGGGUGAGUAACACGUGGAUAACCUACCUAUAAGACUGGGAUAACUUCGGGAAACCGGAGCUAAUACCGGAUAAUAUAUUGAACCGCAUGGUUCAAUAGUGAAAGACGGUUUUGCUGUCACUUAUAGAUGGAUCCGCGCCGCAUUAGCUAGUUGGUAAGGUAACGGCUUACCAAGGCAACGAUGCGUAGCCGACCUGAGAGGGUGGUCGGCCACACUGGAGCUGAGACACGGUCCAGACUCCUACGGGAGGCAGCAGUAGGGAAUCUUCCGCAAUGGGCGAAAGCCUGACGGAGCAACGCCGCGUGAGUGAUGAAGGUCUUCGGAUCGUAAAACUCUGUUAUUAGGGAAGAACAAAUGUGUAAGUAACUAUGCACGUCUUGACGGUACCUAAUCAGAAAGCCACGGCUAACUACGUG
rnacentral:rRNA from 1 species